rnacentral:rRNA from 1 species
UGCUAAGGUAGCAUAAUAAUUUGUCCUUUAAUUGGGGACUGGUAUGAACGGUUGAACAAGAAAUUAACUGUCUCUAUUGCAAACUUUGAACUUUACAUUUAAGUGAAAAGGCUUAAAUAGUAUAGGGGGACGAUAAGACCCUAUAAAUCUUUAUACUUUAACUAAUAAAUUUUAAAGAUUAGUUGCAAAUUUAGUGUUAUUAAGUUAAAAUAUUUUGUUGGGGCGACAGGAGUAUAAUAAGUAACUGCUUUGUUUAUAAAUUUAAUUAUUUUUAAUGUGUAAAUUGUAUUGAUCCUCUGUUGGAGAAAUCAGACUAAGUUACUUUAGGGAUAACAGCGUAAUCUUUUUUGAGAGUCCAUAUCGAAAAAAUGGUUUCCGACCUCGAUGUUGAAUUAAAGAUCCUUGAUGGCGUAG